GGCCUGGUGGCGGAUGGUCCGCACCCACCGAUAAUACACAGUGUUCACAAUAUACCAGUGGGUUCCCUCGUUCGACUCGGGGCCAGGCCG